AGCAGCCGCGGUAAUUCCAGCUCCAAUAGCGUAUAUUAAAGUUGUUGCAGUUAAAAAGCUCGUAGUUGAAUUUCGGGAUCAAUAUGUCGGUCGUGCCUUCGGUACGUACUGGUAUCAUUGGUCUCUCCUUUCUGACGAACCAUGAUGUCAUUAAUUUGGUGUUAUGGGGAGUUAGGACUGUUACUUUGAAAAAAUUAGAGUGUUUAAAGCAAGCUAACGCUUGAAUACAUUAGCAUGGAAUAAUGAAAUAGGACGUUCGAUCCUAUUUUGUUGGUUUCUAGGAUUGACGUAAUGAUUAAUAGGGAUAGUUGGGGGCAUUAGUAUUCAAUUGUCAGAGGUGAAAUUCUUGGAUUUAUUGAAGACUAACUACUGCGAAAGCAUUUGCCAAGGAUGUUUUCAUUAAUCAAGAACGAAAGUUAGGGGAUCGAAGACGAUCAGAUACCGUCGUAGUCUUAACCAUAAACUAUGCCGACUAGGGAUCGGAUGAUGUUAAUUUUUAAUUGACUCAUUCGGCGUCCG
rnacentral:rRNA from 1 species